rnacentral:lncRNA from 1 species
UUUCAGAUAUACUCAAGCUACAUUGGGUGUUAUGUUGCAUAUUUUGCUCUCUUUAAUCCCUUGGAACACCUCCUUAUACUGGAUUUUACUACAAUUUUCUUGUGAAAAGGUCAUAAAUAUUAUUAACAAAAGCAGCACAAGUGCUGUAAAUCUGUGCAGAGCAAAUUUUUACUACAAUUUAUGUUUGAAAAUCACUAGUGUAGCAGCAUUUGCCCCCAAAAUGCAUAAACUGGUAGUUUCAUCUCUGAUAUAUUUGUGAUUUAUGUUUUUUUGUAACCAGCUGUUAACAUUUCUAUAUUUCUCCUGCCAGUUGAAUGAUGCAGUGGAUAAUCAAGGAAGUGUUGCUAACAUGGCAAAUGAGUUGGUAGAGCAUACAGGUUUGAGUGAAGAGGUGAAUGAAACACCAGAACGACCUUCAGCUUUGAGUGAAGAGGUGAAUGAAACACCAGAACGACCUUCAGCUUUGAGUGAAGAGGUGAAUGAAACACCAGAACGACCUUCAGCUUUGAGUGUGAACGGGGACGAGGAGGAAGGGUGUGGUGACAGUGCUGAUGAUGGUGAUGAUAGUGACGAGGAGGAAGAGAUUAAACAUCCCGGUGAAGUCUCUGUAGGGAAGAAGAUUUGGACUUUCAUCACGACAUAGUGGA